UUUUCUUUGUUAAAAUUUGAACAAUUGCAUUUGCUAUCAAAAGAAAGUUGAGUUAAAAAAGUGUGCUUGCAUUUUUGAUAUUGAAAGAUUUGAAUAGCUUGAUCAUUCUUCUCUGUUUGAUGAACACUUUUGCGCUCUUGCAGUUUUGUGCUCACCCACGCGCUCACCAAUACUAUGGCUGGCGCUAUUUCAACCACUCACAAAAAAAUUUCUAAAUAAAGUGCAUUAUUUGACAUUGCCAAAUUGUUUGAAUAUUUAAAAUAUCCUAAAAUAUAUUAAAGUCAUGGAUGACAAAAAAUACAAAGAUAUCUUGCUGAAAAUUGCAGUUAAUUUGUUGGAUAGAGAUGUUGAAGCAAUUAAAUUUUAUUAUUCAAAACAAAUUGGUGAUGCUGAUCUUGAAAGGAUUACAACUCCUAUCAAGUUAAUUCAAAUUUUAGAACAGCGUAUGCUUUUAGGAAUCGAUAAUUACAAUUCUUUUGUAGAGGUGCUUACAAAAAUUGGAAGAAAUGACCUGGUUAUUUAUUUCUUUGAGAUUUCAAAUUCACCAAACAAAGAUUCCAAUAUUUCUUUCAAAAAAGAUUUGUUGAGGAUGUCGGCUGAACUGAAAAAAUUUUAUCUUAAUUAUUAUGGGAAAAUUGGUGAACUUCAACCACUAUUAAAAGCAUCUGCAAAUGUUGAUCUCAUACAAAAAUUUAUUGAUCUAUGUAUUGUUGAUGCAGUUAAUGCUCAAAUAGACGCUUAUUUCAGUGUUGAACAAAAGGAAUUUCUUGAAAAGCAAAUUCGUUAUACACCAAUUCCAUACAGUGAUAUAUUUGUGAAAGAAAAACCAGUAAUAUUAAUAUCUGGAAUAGCUGGUAUUGGGAAAACAUGGUUGCUUAGAAAAUGUUUGCUUGAUUGGUCAAAUGAUUUAAUUUGGAAAAAUGUUGAACUUGUUUUCUAUUUGGAAUGCAGGAUACUCAAUUCAUAUGCAAAUAUUUCUAAUAUUAAUGAAUUAUUAAAUAUUUUCUACAAGGAUAUUGUAAACGAUUUUAAAUUUAGUAGUCACACUGCACUGUUUAUAAUUGAUGGGUUGGAUGAGUUUAAAUAUUUCAAUGAGCUAUUAAAUCCAAGUUUGACUAGCACUCCGAUUGUUAAAGUUUUACGAGAAAUUCAAAAAUACAAACAUGUAAUUGCUGGUAGAGUUUAUGCAAUUGAUCAAUACCAAAGUAUAUCUACAGAACAUAGCGAUAAGUUAACCAUUCAAGUAAUGGGGUUUAAUGAAAAUGGAAUAAAUAAUUAUGUAGAAAAUCAUGUUAUAGAAGAAAAAAAAGAAUUUGUAAAAACAACUUUAAAGGAGUCUUCAAUUGCAAAAGCCAUGGCAUCUGUUCCGUUUUAUUUAUCUUCAAUGUGUAAAAUUAUAAGUGAUUCGAAAAAAAUAGAUACAAAUUCUUUCUUAACAAUGACAGAUUUGUAUACAAAUAUUUUUUUAUACUUUUUGCGAAAACAUAUCAUAAAAAACAAUAAACUGAUAUAUGAGAUAAUGGAAGACAGUUCCAAUAAAAAGUAUAUUUUAAAUAUUUGUAAAAUUGCAUAUAAAAUGUUUGUUAACAAUAAAAUAAUUUUUUCCAAAGAUGAAAUUCAAGCUUUUAUUAAUGACUUUGAUAAAAAUGAAGGUAAUUUCUUUGGAUUUAUAGAAAGGAUUGAAACAGAUCUUGGUUGUUAUUAUCAAUUUGCACAUUUGACAAUAAUGGAGUUUUGUGCAUCUGUAUAUGCAUAUAAUUGUUUAAGUAGUGAUGAGAUUAUGGCCAAUGAGAGGCUGAAGAUUAGUUGUUUAUCAAUGAUUUGUGGAUUAGCCAAUAAAAACCCAAACAGUUUAUUAAAGUUUCUUGUUAACCUGGAUUCUUCUAAAAAACACUAUAAAGAAUCUUCAUUUUUGUUUUCUAUUUUUGUUUAUUAUAUGGUUUCUACAAGAAAAUGGGAAAUGGUCUAUUUAGCAGCUCAUUAAAAAAAGAAGUUUCUAAACAUGAAUUGGCUUCUGAUGAAUUUAUUUCAAAAUUUUGUGGUGAAAUAAACUAUAAUAUUGGAAGUGAUUGGUUGCGAUGGGGAAGACACCUUGGUCUCUGUGAUUCAGAUCUUGAUAACAUUGGCUCUGAUAGCAAAUAUUGUUUUGAGAAAGCUGAUAAUGUUUUAAAAAAAUGGAAGCAAAAAAAUGGAAGUCCUUCAUGGGAACAUAUAAAAAAAGAGUUAAUGGCUUUUGAUCGUUUAGAUAUUGUGAAUAAAAUUGAAACAAAAUUUGGAGAUACCUUAUCAAGUCAAGAAAAAAUUAGGUAAUAAAA
rnacentral:misc_RNA from 1 species